UACGGAGGGUGCAAGCGUUAUCCGGAUUCACUGGGUUUAAAGGGGGCGUAGGUGGGUUGGUAAGUCAGUGGUGAAAUCCCCGAGCUUAACUUGGGAACUGCCAUUGAUACUAUCAGUCUUGAAUAUUGUGGAGGUCAGCGGAAUAUGUCAUGUAGCGGUGAAAUGCUUAGAUAUGACAUAGAACACCAAUUGCGAAGGCAGCUGGCUACACAUAUAUUGACACUGAGGCUCGAAAGCGUGGGGAUCAAACAGG
rnacentral:rRNA from 1 species